GUGUAUAGCACUACCACCCUGAACUCACCCUAGCCUGUCUGUUUUUGGAAGCUAAGCAGGGUUGUGCCUGGUUAGUACUUGGAUGGAAGACAGAUCUUCAAAGGAGAGUGCUCAGAGACAAAGACA
rnacentral:rRNA from 1 species